AGGGGACAGAGAUCCAGUAUUUGGGACCCUUGGAUAUACCCUUGGUCUUGCCUGGUCCAGGAACUCCUGAAGACAACAAUGGAAAUCCCAAACUCUCCUGGCCAUAUUCUCUGAAAAUGAAGUGAUCUGACAGAAAGCCCCACACCCAUAGCCAGGCUGGAGAAAUUGUCUGGCCUCACAGUGGCUUCUAUUUACAGGUUGAUAUCAUGUUGUACUACUUGGAGGUGAACUGAUGUACCCAGCCUCCACUUCUUCUCUAAACCUUCUGGAACUCUCUUCCAUACCAAUGUAUUAAGAGGAAUGGUGCUUUGGAACCAUUUGGAAUGGUGUUCACAGUGCACAAGCCGGAGGCACCUAAGAACUCAUGGUUCCCUGGAGAGUCCAGGUGGAUAAUGAGACAGGUUCGUGAGAUCCUGACUAGAAGGUGGACUGUCUUCAACUUAUCCUGUUUAUCCAUGUGUUUGGACAAAAUAACCUUCAUUUCACUAAGCACAUCCAUGUUGCAAGCCCUGUAUAAUUUGUAUGCUUCAACAAUCGUUGUUUUUCCUGUGUUUUGGGCCAAAAACUAUGUAUGUCUUUUUUCAAAGUAAUUAAAUGUUCUUGAAAUGGGAUGAAGAAAGGUUUCAAAAUUAGGGGAAAAUAUCCUUAUAAAUGAUACUUCUGCUGAACUCUAGAGCUGUCCUACUAUUCCCCAGCUCUGAGGAGCUAGGGGGAAAGAUAGUCUAAUGGGGACAAAUGGCGAUCUCCCUAUAAAUGCAUACAAAGCUACAAGGAAAUGAAAACACCUUUGAUUCAAUUUCAUAUUAGGUUGUCUUUUUUCUUCUAAUGAUCAUAAGGAAUUGCUUGGUGUAUAUCAAUGGUUGACAUUUCAACUUGUAUUUGAAGGAGGUUUGUUUUGUUCUUUAACAAUGCUGGGCUAGCAUUGGAAACAACCAUGGCUACAAUAUUACACUCUGCUUGUCCCUGGCUUUUUCUCUUUUUAUGGUAUAAUGGUCUGUCCAUGAGUUAAAAUGCAGAGAAUGUGUAUACUGAAGGUGGAACACAUUGGUGUUGAUUUGGA
rnacentral:lncRNA from 1 species